CGAGAAAACGACGAUUAUACUCUGUGCGAGGAUAGUAGGCCGAGAGAGAAAGGGAGACGUGACGGGAACGCGAGAGUGCGCUUGAUGAUGCCAGGCUAGAGAGAAAGGGUGGAAACAUGGGGGGAGCGGAAGGCGGAAGGCCGACCGCGAGGGGGUGGUGUGCGAGAGAAAACCGCUAGCGUGUACUGCAGUACGGGAUAGUGAGCUGCCAGCUAGCCUCCUCUCUCACACCGUGAAAAAGCCGCCAUCGGUCGAGCAAUCGUACGACUGUACAGCUGUUCGCUUUCAGCCGUUCGUUCCACCCCCUUCACGGCACAGAUCGUUUACGAGGGUGUUCGAUCGACGGAGUCUGUUGUGUGUCUAGUUCAUCCUGCGGUGUUGUACAUGUGUGCGUGCAUGAUAGACAUUGGAUUCGCGCGCGUGAUCGUUCGCGAGGUUGCUUCGGGCCUCUUCAGGGUGUGAUCUGGUGAUAUCGCUCCGCAAAAGCCAGCGGCUCCGACAUCCUCGUCGAAUGUCAAGGACGAUGCGGCAUUUCACCGUUACCGUAUACCGACACGACACCCGUUAGAUUUUCCCGUUCGGCGACACACGGGGAUUGGAGGAACAAACAGCGACAAACAGCGACGUCGGUUAGGACGUGUUGCGAGUGUUUGAGAGUCGCAACGCCAAAGAGUCCUUCGAUCUUCCCUUGGGAGUUCCCUUAAAUUAAAUCGCGAAACACGUCACUCGCCCUCGUCUCUCGACAUCGCCGAAUUCCUGACAAUGCAGGCGCCUGUUCCCGAGUGCGGCGAGUCGUCGGAGGACGAUGAGGUGGAUAACGAUCCUCCCUCAGUCGCUUCUAGAAGCGACAGCUCAGGAACGUUAUCCUCGUGAGACGCUGCCACCUGUGUCGAAAGUAUUUCUUACGCUCUGAGUGGGUUGAGAGUAUCGCGAAUAUUUAUUAAUAUUCAAACGAGGAGCUUUGAAGCGUCGACACCCAGGGUGUUAUUGACGGAUUUAGAGAACGUUUCUUUGUGCGAAGAAUUGGACACUGCUACAAUAGGGAUUCGAAGAAUUUGCUCUUUGAAGAAGAAUUUAAACGACUGGACAUUUGUUCAGUAACAUUUGGCUGGCACGAGUGGGCUUUGAGGCGAAUAUUUGAAAUGUGAAAAGAUUCUGCAAAAUCUACAAAAAUGUUAUUCAUGCCUGAAGACAAACGCAAAUAAUCGAGUGUUGAUGAUAAGCGAGUUCUCGAGAAAAAAAAUCUUACAAUACUCUGCGCAAGAUAUUGAACGAAGACACGGAGAGACACGGAGAUCUUGUUUCUUUCUAAUCGAAAGCGAUUACGGGCGACAUUGUUUUUGCUGCACCCUGAGGUGCAAUACUCACAUGCAAAAAAGUGAACAACGUUUUUACGUUCUUAGAAAAGUAACUUGCGGAUUUCGUUGUUAUCUGAUGAAGAGUUUAAGUGAUUAAAGUGGUUGUCAAUUGAUAAAAUCUGAAGCACACUUUGAAGUUGUGAAACGGUGCUUUUGUGGAGAUAUAAGGCAAGAUGGAGUUACCCUUGAACCUCGUUGGGUAAUGUCAUCGACAUGUCAAGGAUUGAUCUCUCGAAACUUGCAAAAGAGCGUGUCCUGAUCGUUUUAAGGAUCUGUUGACCGUGACCUUCGGCCACCAUGUGACGUCAUCCGGGUCACGCGGAAACGUAUCGUGCAAACGGGAUGUCUCGAGACGCUAUUGUUGCCGCCGUCGUGGCGGCGGUAGCGGCGAUCAAUUAAAGUGUCGAUGUGCACUUGCGAGACCUUGUUUUAUAGUCUCGAGAAUUCUUUUCGUGAGACAGACAUCGCGAGUACAAUCUACUUCGCGAAAGAAAGAAAAUACAUCUGGAAUGAAUGACAAUGGACAGUGCAUAGUUUCGUUUCGAUGUUUCAAUAAUAAUAACUUUUAUUGCUCUUGUUAGGCGAGUAUUUGUGCUCAUUGAUAGUUCACAUAAGUAGUUGAUAACAUAAAAUAUAUAUAUAAAGCAACAAGAUCUCAAAAUGUCGCUUUCAUGAAAAGCAAUCGCUCAAAUCGAAUGUUGGAAAAUGCUUCUAACUUUCAGUCGCAAAUUAUAAAAAGUACAAGGCGAAAGUGCGCUCACGUGUUAAAUUUGAUUUCAGAUGUUUUCGUGGAACGUUUCCAGAGCGAAACACGAAUCAAUACAAAACGAUUCCAAGUAAAUCGUCGAAUACGCUUCUCCUUUCAUAAUUGCGCAAGAUGCGUUAAUGCGCUUACACAAUAUUACUGUUAUUUACGAUAAAUCGUUACUGUUAUCUAGGGAUAAUUAUAGCACUCAACGCGAGUGUCACUUGAUGUUAAAAGAGGUUGCGCAAUAUCGAGCUUCGUGAAAUUUCUCUUUUAGCUAAUAUAAGCUUAAAAGCAAUCAGGCAGGAUAAGAAACCUCAAGUUACUCAUUCUGUGCUCAAUUGUUGUUUAUAAAUUAUCUGACCCGCGCUUUUUGAUGUAUUUUCGGUAACCAAGACCGACGUGAAAAUCAUCAGCCUCACAUAACUUAAUAAUAAAUCAAUAUUUCAUUAAUAACUCAUGUUUGCUAUGCUGCACUGUUAAUUACAAGAAACUUGUUGAGAUUCAUUGGAAUUUAAAAUUUUGAGAAAAGCUGCUUUUAAAAAGCGGUUAUAAAAAUCAUAAGGAUCAUCGGCGGAACUACUCACAAAGUAUUUUGGCAAUUUUUAUGAAUAUUGUUGAUGUUAAGAACAUAUGGUAAAUAGCAUGAAGUAUAGUGGCCCGUGAUAAUUUUCAACCUUUCUAACAAGAAGGAAGUUUACUUUAGUCAAGUGAAACUAUCUUGCAAAGUCGCGUUCGCAAGUAUUGUCUUCCAUCAUAUCGUUCUCGGAAGAAGAGAGAAAUUGGAGAGCAAGUAACCCUCUUACGCUCGAGAAACCACUCACAAAUUCCUCUUGAUGCAAAUUUAAUCAGCAGGUUGCGGACAGAACCGAAAUUAUUCAGAUCGUUUGAGGAUCCUUUUCACUGCGACACACAAGUGGAACGCACGAAAUUGCUUUCGCGGCUUCUUCGACAAAUUAUUUUUGCUCCAUUACUCGUGGCCGAGCGUUUCCACUUGCUUCCCUAAGGAUGACGAAACUCCUUGGCUAGAUUGCAAUGACGAGUCGUCACGAGUAGCAGAACUUCACAAGCUGUUGCGUGCGUUUCCUUCAUAACCACGUUAUUUGCUGCGAUAUAUUUAACGAGCAGUAUACUCCUCUCAUUGGAUCUAUCUCGGAGUCUACUUUCUUUGAAGCGUAAAAGCUAAAUUUUUUUGCUAAUUUGCUAUAUCGAACCUCGAAUUUAUUGUGAGAGAGACUUCCUCUUAAACAUCCUUCUAAUCAAGAUAAUAAUAAAUGCGCAAGACAUACACUUGCACAGUGAAACAAAUGAUCGUACAAGAUCAAUACUAUUCGAAACGUAGAAAAUAUUUGAGAUAUUAUAAAUUGCGGGAACAUCUACGUUAUACUAGCAAGCAAGAGCAUCAGAAUCAUAAAAAAAGAGACACGAUGCACAAGUCUAUCUUUUAUAAUAAGUCAAUUGAUCACGCCAUUACGCGACAAUGGACAACUGGAAUCUCUUCAAGAUGUUUGACAAGGAUUCAUCGAUUCUUCUUGCCCGACGAUUGUGCGUUUAUCUGACUUUGCUCAUUGUGUCUGCUGGUACGUGAUUGUUUUUAACAUAGAGUGUGAUCAGAGAGAGACUCGUGGCGAUGUGGUCGAAGGGACGAUGUGGCCGAACGUCGUCGGCAGAACUCGGAAGUCCCGCGAUUGCCUCAAGGUGAAGUUACCGGCAGCGAAGAAGAAAAGGAAAAAGAACGAGUCGGUGUGCUGUAAGCUUCUCGCCCUGUUACAUAAUCGCAAGCCUCGGGAUCCGGUUCGUGGCCUCAGCGCCGCCUCGUCGGUGCCCCUGCUCGAUAUGGGCGCCAGAGCAUGGGACUACGAGGCCCUGCCGGAGCUCCACACCUCGACAGCGGUCACGCCGACCUCGACGCCACCGAACGCGUCCCAACAAAAAGUGCCCAAGGUGUAUUUUCAAGCAGAGAAUCUGGCGUCCACCAGGCGGAGGAGCAGCAGUAAAUUGCUGGGGCCGCAGCAAUCUUGCAGGAGACGCAGCAGGAGUAUGAGCGCGUGGAGCGAUCUGUCCAGGUCGUCCUUCAGGUUGGAAGAAAGAGUUCGUGUUGAGUACUAUGUGAACGAGAACACGUUCAAGGAGCGGCUACAACUGUACUUCAUCAAGAACCAACGUUCGAGCUUGAGGAUACGAGUUGCCAAUCUCUUUUUCAAGCUGCUAACAUGCUUCCUGUAUAUAUUCAGAGUUAUUAUCGACAACGAUCCGACGUAUGCAGCAUGUUACGGUUGCUCCCCCGGCAACAAGACGGAGUUCCUCGCGUCGCAGAACUUGACGGAAGAGGAGUUCCAGGAGCAUCCGACCAUCAACUGGGAUGCAAUCCUCUGGGUCAGACGACCUCUGGAGUUGUGGGUGAUCCAAGUGAUCCUGGCAAUAGUGUCGCUGACCGAGGCCUUGCUGCUCGCCUAUCUCGGUUACAAGGGAAAUAUCUGGCAGCAGCUAUCCUUCCACUUCAUUCUGGAACUGCUCAACACAAUCCCGUUCACUAUCACGUUAUUACACCCACCAAUGAGAAAUCUGUUCAUUCCGGUGUUCCUAAAUUGCUGGUUGGCGAAACAUUCCCUGGAGAAUCUCUUCAACGACCUGCACAGAGCGAUGCAGAAAUCCCAGUCGGCGUUGAGUCAGCAGCUGAUGAUCCUUAGUGCUACGUUACUGUGCCUUGUCUUUACUAGCGUAUGCGGGAUCCAGCACUUUCAGAGAGCGGGGCACAGGCAUUUGAAUCUAUUUCAAAGCACAUAUUACGUCGUGGUGACGUUCUCCACGGUGGGCUACGGGGAUUUCGUGCCGGAUAUUUGGCCGUCGCAACUUUACAUGGUUAUCAUGAUCUGCGUGGCGCUCAUAGUGCUACCGACGCAGUUUGAACAGUUGGCUUUCACGUGGAUGGAGCGGCAGAAGCUGGGUGGUUCGUAUUCGUCGCACAGAGCGCAAAGCGAGAAGCACGUGGUAGUUUGCAGCACGACGUUACAAGCGGAUACCAUCAUGGACUUUCUAAAUGAGUUCUACGCCCAUCCUUUACUGCAGGAUUAUUACGUGGUGCUUUUAUCGCCAAUGGAGCUUGAUACCACAAUGCGGAUGAUCCUGCAAGUGCCGAUCUGGGCACAGAGAGUAAUUUACAUACAGGGCUCGUGCCUGAAGGAUGGCGAUCUCGCCAGAGCCAGGAUGAAUGAGGCGGAAGCCUGCUUCGUUCUGGCAGCGAGAAAUUACGCCGACAAAACCGCUGCUGACGAGCACACGAUACUCAGAUCAUGGGCGGUGAAAGAUUUCGCGCCCAAUGUUCCUCAAUACGUUCAAAUCUUCCGUCCGGAAAACAAACUUCACGUCAAAUUCGCGGAGCACGUGGUUUGCGAAGAUGAGUUUAAGUACGCCCUUUUAGCGAACAACUGCACGUGUCCCGGCGCUUCGACAUUGGUUACACUGUUGCUGCACACGUCUAGAGGACAAGAAGGUCAACAGUCGCAGGAGGAGUGGCACAGGCUAUACGGUAAAUGUUCCGGCAACGAGAUUUAUCACAUAAUUCUCGGUGACUCCCGCUUUUUCGGGGAAUACGAGGGAAAAUCCUUCACCUACGCGUCCUUCCAUAGUCACCGGAAAUACGGAGUUGCACUUGUCGCAGUCAGGCCGGCGGAACUUCCGGAAUUUUACGAGGACACCAUCCUGCUGAAUCCUGGACCGCGGCAUAUAAUGAAAAAGACCGAUACCUGCUACUACAUGAGCAUCACCAAAGAGGAGAACUCGGCGUUCGUGGUCGCGAAUAACCAGUGCGGCGUCGCCGGUGAGGGUACUCAAGUGAUCGUCGAGACGAAGACAGACAUGACGUCCGCGAGCAACGGAUCGACGGCAAAUACCACGACGACGAAUACCACCGCGGCGAUCAUGAAUUCCAUGGGGGCGACGUCGGCGACGACCACCACCACUACCACCACGACGAUAUCGACCAGUUGCAUCGGCGGUGGCGGCGAUGGGAACGGUACAGCAAUCAGCAACGGUGCCGACGCGCACCAGCGAUUUUCCAACAGUUGUAACGUUGCGCUGAGCGAAACACUCCGCAGGCAGGAGACCUGCACGGGGCCCCGUGCGCAGGACCGGUCGAACGGUCACCAAGGUCACAGGGCCCCGUUGCCACCGCAGGUUAUUUUGCAGGUCCUCCCUAGCACGCCCACACCAAUCCAACACCACAACUUACUCGCAUCCGAUGUCCACCCGAGUUAUCUUGAUCCCGGAGGAUUCGGAGAUUCGAGGCAAUGCUUGAAAGAAGGAGGAUCAACGCCACAAACACCAAUUACUGGAAAUCAUUUAGACGUGCCACGAUCUCUCGAUCCGAAUCCCAAUCUGCUUAGUCCAGAAAUUUUAACCCAGAGGAGAGGGAGCAGAAGACCAAGUAUUCUACCAGUACCAGACAUGCUCACUAGUUCGACCCUGCAUUUGCCUGGCCAGGAAUCCUUGGACCACGAAGGUGACGAAUCCGAGGACGAAAUGGAUGAUGACGUUCCCUGGAGAUCGCCAAGCGAGAAGAUCGCCUUCAAAGGGAUCGUCAAGGGAUUUCCGCCGGUUUCCCCGUUCAUUGGAGUUUCGCCGACAUUAUGCUACCUCCUCAAGGAGAAAAAGCCACUCUGUUGCCUUCAGCUGGCUCAGGUGUGCCAACAUUGCAGCUACAGAAACGCCAAAGAGUACAAUUGGCAGAAUAAGACCAUCAUUCUGGCCGCGGAUUACGCUAGCAAUGGGAUUUACAACUUUAUAAUACCAUUAAGGGCACACUUUAGGUCGAAAACAUCAUUGAAUCCGAUUAUCCUUUUGCUGGAGAGAAAACCAGAAAUCGCGUUUCUCGACGCGGUGUCCUAUUUUCCAUUGGUCUACUGGAUGCGCGGCUCCAUCGACUGCCUGGAUGAUCUCCUCCGGGCCGGCAUCACUUUGGCGGAAAACGUCGUAGUCGUAAACAAGGAACUUAACAAUUCUGCUGAGGAGGAUACCCUAGCUGAUUGCAACACGAUCGUUGCAGUACAGACUAUGUUCAAAUUUUUCCCAAGCAUAAAAAGCAUAACGGAGCUGUCCCAGUCGAGCAAUAUGCGCUUCAUGCAGUUCCGGGCGCACGACAAGUACGCUUUGCAUCUCAGCAAAAUGGAAAAGGUACUCCUCAGUGCUACUACCGAUGACAACCACCCCGAUGAGCCUCCGAUGGGCUCCCCGAGGGAAAAGGAACGAGGAUCUCACAUAUCGUACAUGUUUCGAUUGCCGUUUGCCGCCGGUAGUGUUUUCAGCGCCUCGAUGUUGGAUACGUUGCUUUAUCAAGCGUUUGUUAAAGAUUACGUAAUCACUUUUGUGAGACUAUUAUUGGGGGUAGACCAAGCGCCGGGCUCUGGAUUUCUCACGUCGAUGCGCAUAACGAAGGACGAUAUGUGGAUAAGGACGUACGGCAGAUUGUAUCAGAAACUCUGCUCGACCACUUGCGAAAUCCCGAUCGGAAUAUACAGGACGCAGGACACCACCAUAUCCGACUCCUCACAUCAGGGCGACUCAGACGCGGAAAGCGACGCCGGCGUCGGUGUGACGUACAAGGUGCGUCAUUCGGCGGCAGCAUCGUGCCUUGCAAAUUGCGCUACCCGCGACAAGGGUGCAUCUGCUUUUUAAGGUCAAUCGAUUGUGGCGUUCAACCGAUAUCGAAAAUGUGGCUGUAACAGUGGUGGUAACAGCCUUUGUAACACCUUGAAAGCUGCGUGCGUUAAGCCACUUGUUGCAUGUGUACUCGGUGAGCCUCGGCGAUGAGGCGCGCGACAACCACGCGCAGCAGAUUGAGCGGGCGGAGAUCGCAAAUCUGGUGCGCUC
rnacentral:misc_RNA from 1 species